rnacentral:lncRNA from 1 species
CAGAAACACAACCGUAACUGCACAAGACUCAAGCAGAUACACCUGCAUAGACACAUACGCACCACAUACCUGCAGGCCCCUCACACAUGCAACCAGGCCUGCUCUUGGGUCUUCUUUCCAUGUCAUGGGGGGUCAUGAGAUAAGGAUGCCCCCCAGCUCCCACCAGUCCUUCAAUGCUUAGAUGAACCCCUGAACCUGGGGGCUAGGAGGGGUCUGACCACUCAGGACUGCCAGACCUGAGCCCACCUGGAUGUCCAAAUCUUGGGCCCUUAGCUUCCCCACAGCCUCAUGGGAGAGCACAUUUAGGAUCUAGGCACAUCCUAGACAAUGGUCUCGGGAUCAUCCAGUGAGUAUCCAGGCCUCAGGGCAAUGUGGCCGAUACACUGGCUUCCCAAUGGAAGAUUAGGGCAACAACCUGCUUGGGCCUGAUUCUGAGAGUCCCCCUUGUAGUUCCCCAGGAUGGAUGGAGGACCUGUUUGCCCUCCUGCUGGGUCCCUGCUCUAGGCUAUGGCCCAUGUGCACCUGUGGAUGGAGUAAGUAUAUGAGGGUGAGGCCACCAGGGAGGGUUUAAUCAGAGUUUCCUAUUUCUAGCAUGUUGACAGGCAAUUCAGCAAUCCCCCUGGGAGGGCAGAAGAGGACGCACAAGAAGCAGAGCCUAGAUUUUAAGGCAGGUGCCAGGUAUCUGUGCUUCUGCCCCUGUAUCCUGGGGAAUUCUGUGGCCCUCGCCCACAACACCAGCAAAGGCCCUUUAAGGCAGACUCCCUCCGGGAAGAGAAAAGGGGCCAAGGAAGAGCGCUCCACCCACUCCCCCUGUUUGGCCUACAGAGAGUGCAGAGGGUUCUUCCAUUUAGGUUCCUAUGGCUCACCCCCUCCUCUCCCUCCUGGGAGGGCAGGCAGGGCCCCUAUUCCUCCACAUUCAAUAAGUCAAACUCAUACUUGAGUGACACUGGGCUACUGAAGGGUUUCCAACCCCAGUGGCCUGGGGCACCAGAAAGAAUCAGGGGCCUGGGGAGGGGGAACCUGGAGAAGGAUGAGGCUCAGGCUGCCACUGCAGGGCACAGCUGCUGAAGGCACAGAAUUGCACAUCUGGCCCUGAUGCAACCCACUACUUCUGAGCCUGCCCACACCAGGCACAAGAAAGCACGCGCACGCGCACACACACACACGCACACACACACCCUGCGGAGUUGCCGACAAAGUUCAGUGCCUGCUUCCAUCCAAUCCACGAGUCUGGAGAUGAGGGGCCUGCUGGGGGGCACCCCAGGGAAUACUCUGCAUGCACAUGCCACCCACCCACCCCUGCCUGUGCCCUGAACUGUAGAGACAGGAGACAGGUGCAUUGGAGGGCGAAGCACACAGUCUCAAAGACAUUCAAAAACACAGACACCUAAAGCUAUCCUCCUACACCAAGUCAGGUAUAAUGACGUUUUCUCCCCCACCCCAAUUAAAGACAUCCCUACAACUCAGACCAGCUACAGCAGCACUGUGGGUGCGGGCAGGCAUCCGCCCAUCGCCCAGGUUGCUGCCCCUCCCCUGUUCCUUUCAGCCACAUCUCCUUUCCCCUCCUCUCAUUUUCCACUGCCAAUCCCAGGACAGAACUGGACAGCCC